GCCUUGGUGGCGCAGUAGGCAGCGCGUAAGUCUCAUAAUCUUAAGGUCGUGAGUUCGAGCCUCACCCAGGGCA
rfam:Glossina austeni unplaced genomic scaffold Scaffold185, whole genome shotgun sequence.